CAGUCGCCGCGGUAAUACGUAGGUGGCAAGCGUUGUCCGGAAUUAUUGGGCGUAAAGCGAGCGCAGGCGGUUAGAUAAGUCUGAAGUUAAAGGCUGUGGCUUAACCAUAGUACGCUUUGGAAACUGUUUAACUUGAGUGCAGAAGGGGAGAGUGGAAUUCCAUGUGUAGCGGUGAAAUGCGUAGAUAUAUGGAGGAACACCGGUGGCGAAAGCGGCUCUCUGGUCUGUAACUGACGCUGAGGCUCGAAAGCGUGGGGAGCGAACAGGAUUAGAUACCACGGUAGUCCCUGUCUCUUAUACA
rnacentral:rRNA from 1 species